rnacentral:rRNA from 1 species
AGUGAACGCUGGCGGUAGGCCUAACACAUGCAAGUCGAACGGCAGCACAGUAAGAGCUUUCUCUUACGGUUGGCGAGUGGCGGACGGGUGAGGAAUACAUCGGAAUCUACUUUUUCUUGGGUGAUAACGUAGGGAAACUUACGCUAAUACCGCAUACGACCUACGGGUUAAAGCAGGGGAUCUUCGGACCUUGCGCGUUUGUAUGAGCCGAUGUCGGAUUAGCUAGUUGGCGGGGUAAAGGCCCACCAAGGCAACGAUCCGUAGCUGGUCUGAGAGGAUGAUCAGCAACACUGGAACUGAGACACGGUCAAGACUCCUACGGGAGGCAGCAGUGGGGAAUAUUGGACAAAGGGCGAAAGCCUGAUCCAGCCAUACCGCGUGGGUGAAGAAGGCCUUCGGGUUGUAAAGCCCUGUUGUUGGGAAAGAAAAGAAGCAGGUUAAUACCCCGCUGUUCUGACGGUACCCAAAGAAUAAGCACCGGCUAACUUCGUG